rnacentral:lncRNA from 1 species
UAGGGCAGCGUUAGAUUAUUAAGUUUUUACUUUAUUUUUUUAUUUUUAUUUUUAGAGGAGUUCUUAUUUUAUUUUUAGAUUUGGUUAAAUUUUGCCUUACAUUAUUAGGAUAAAUUUCUAGUUUCAAUUAUUAUUAUGAGUUAUUAAUAGUAAAACCUUUCGCAUAUUCCAGCUCUGCCUUUUGAGUACUUCUCAACCUUUUGUUAACAAAAUCAUGUUAUUAUCUUCACUUAAGUCAGAACUACACUUGAAUUAUACAAUGAACUGAUGAAGUAUAUUUGUGAAACAUUCUCUUGUUUUCAGACUCUGAUUGUGAUAUAAACACACUAGGACUAAUUAUUUUCUUCUGUGUCUUUUUCUUCUUCUUUGUAUACCCAUGAAAACAUAUAGGACCAACAGAAGUAAUGAAAACAAAUUACCAAACAGGGACUAUCAAACAUGCACAUAUGUAGACUCCAAAAUAUGCACAUAAUUGGUAAGUAAAGAAAGAAAUAUACAAAAUCUUUUGAUGUACCGUUCUGUUUUUACAUAAACAAGCUUAACUUAUAUCAUUAAUCCAAUGAGUAGCAAUGCAAUUUGGUAUCGAAUGAAACCCUCGAGUUGGUGAAGCAAGGUUGGUGAGAGGAGUAGAACCUGCAGAGGCCU